rnacentral:rRNA from 1 species
GGAACUAGGCAAAAUGGUGCCGUAACUUCGGGAGAAGGCACGCUGACACGUAGGUGAAGUGAUUUACUCAUGGAGCUGAAGUCAGUCGAAGAUACCAGCUGGCUGCAACUGUUUAUUAAAAACACAGCACUGUGCAAACACGAAAGUGGACGUAUACGGUGUGACGCCUGCCCGGUGCCGGAAGGUUAAUUGAUGGGGUCAGCGCAAGCGAAGCUCCUGAUCGAAGCCCCGGUAAACGGCGGCCGUAACUAUAACGGUCCUAAGGUAGCGAAAUUCCUUGUCGGGUAAGUUCCGACCUGCACGAAUGGCGUAAUGAUGGCCAGGCUGUCUCCACCCGAGACUCAGUGAAAUUGAACUCGCUGUGAAGAUGCAGUGUACCCGCGGCAAGACGGAAAGACCCCGUGAACCUUUACUAUAGCUUGACACUGAACAUUGAGCCUUGAUGUGUAGGAUAGGUGGGAGGCUUUGAAGUGUGGACGCCAGUCUGCAUGGAGCCGACCUUGAAAUACCACCCUUUAAUGUUUGAUGUUCUAACGUGGACCCGUGAUCCGGGUUGCGGACAGUGUCUGGUGGGUAGUUUGACUGGGGCGGUCUCCUCCUAAAGAGUAACGGAGGAGCACGAAGGUUGGCUAAUCCUGGUCGGACAUCAGGAGGUUAGUGCAAUGGCAUAAGCCAGCUUGACUGCGAGCGUGACGGCGCGAGCAGGUGCGAAAGCAGGUCAUAGUGAUCCGGUGGUUCUGAAUGGAAGGGCCAUCGCUCAACGGAUAAAAGGUACUCCGGGGAUAACAGGCUGAUACCGCCCAAGAGUUCAUAUCGACGGCGGUGUUUGGCACCUCGAUGUCGGCUCAUCACAUCCUGGGGCUGAAGUAGGUCCCAAGGGUAUGGCUGUUCGCCAUUUAAAGUGGUACGCGAGCUGGGUUUAGAACGUCGUGAGACAGUUCGGUCCCUAUCUGCCGUGGGCGCUGGAGAACUGAGGGGGGCUGCUCCUAGUACGAGAGGACCGGAGUGGACGCAUCACUGGUGUUCGGGUUGUCAUGCCAAUGGCACUGCCCGGUAGCUAAAUGCGGAAGAGAUAAGUGCUGAAAGCAUCUAAGCACGAAACUUGCCCCGAGAUGAGUUCUCCCUGAGACUUUAGGUCUCCUGAAGGAACGUUGAAGACGACGACGUUGAUAGGCCGGGUGUGUAAGCGCAGCGAUGCGUUGAGCUAACCGGUACUAAUGAACCGUGAGGCUUAACCUUACA